AUCCUGCCAGUAGUCAUAUGCUUGUCUUAAAGAUUAAGCCAUGCAUGUCUUAGUAUAAGUGUUUAUAUAACGAAACUGCGAAUGGCUCAUUAAAUCAGUUAUAGUUUAUUUGAUUGUACAUGCUACUUGGAUAACCGUAGUAAUUCUAGAGCUAAUACAUGCUGAGAUAUCCUACUUUGGGGAAGGAUAGCAUUUAUUAGAUACAAAACCAACCUAGUGGGGCAACUCAUUAGUAAUUGGUGAUUCAUAAUAACUUAGCGAAUCGCAGAGUCUCGUACUUGCGAUGCUUCAUUCAAAUAUCUGCCCUAUCAACUUUCGAUGGUAGUGUAGGGGACUACCAUGGUGUUUACGGGUGACGGGGAAUUAGGGUUCGGUUCCGGAGAGGGAGCCUGAGAGAUGGCUACCACUUCCAAGGAAGGCAGCAGGCGCGCAAAUUACCCAAUGAGAAUGUCUUGAGGUAGUGACGAGAAAUAACAAUACAGGCUCCGAUAAGGGGCUUGUAAUUGGAAUGAAAGAAAUUUAAAUCCAUCAUUUAGGAACAAUUGGAGGACAAGUCUGGUGCCAGCACCCGCGGUAAUUCCAGCUCCAAUAGCGUAUAUUAAAGUUGUUGCAGUUAAAACGCUCGUAGUCGGAUUUCAGUACCUGUAGGAUGUGGUCUGCCGCAAGGUGUGUACUGCUCUUACAGUACUUUCUUCUACUGUGUGUUCACCGCUAACCUUAAGUGGUUGGUAGGUGUCUAUAGUAGAACGUUUACUUUGAAUAAAUUAGAGUGUUUCAAGCAGGCAGUUUUCGUCUUGAAUACAUUAGCAUGGAAUAAUAGAAUAGGACUCUAAGUCUAUUUUGUUGGUUUUGGGGGCUUGGGGUAAUGAUUAAUAGGAACAGUCGGGGUUGUUUGUAUUUAAUUGUCAGAGGUGAAAUUCUUGGAUUUAUGAAAGACAAACUUCUGCGAAAGCAUUCAACAAGGAUGUUUUCAUUGAUCAAGAACGAAAGUUAAGGGAUCGAAGACGAUCAGAUACCGUCGUAGUCUUAACUAUAAA
rnacentral:rRNA from 1 species